UUACGAUGUGGGCCCCCUGAGACGGCGCU
rnacentral:sRNA from 1 species